rnacentral:rRNA from 1 species
GACGAACGCUGGCGGCGUGCUUAACACAUGCAAGUCGAACGGAAAGGCCCUGCUUGCAGGGUACUCGAGUGGCGAACGGGUGAGUAACACGUGGGUGAUCUGCCCUGCACUUCGGGAUAAGCCUGGGAAACUGGGUCUAAUACCGGAUAGGAGCCAUUUUUAGUGUGAUGGUUGGAAAGUUUUUUCGGUGUAGGAUGAGCUCGCGGCCUAUCAGCUUGUUGGUGGGGUAAUGGCCUACCAAGGCGGCGACGGGUAGCCGGCCUGAGAGGGUGGACGGCCACAUUGGGACUGAGAUACGGCCCAGACUCCUACGGGAGGCAGCAGUGGGGAAUAUUGCACAAUGGGCGCAAGCCUGAUGCAGCGACGCCGCGUGGGGGAUGACGGCCCUCGGGUUGUAAACUCCUUUCGCUAGGGACGAAGCUUUUUGUGACGGUACCUAGAUAAGAAGCGCCGGCUAACUACGUG